GUGUGAUGAGUGACAUUCUGGUCACCAUAUUGAAUGUGCUUGAAAUAGAAGUGUACACCACAUUGAAGACAUUACUGGUGAAAAUAGAAACAUAUCACAAAUCCAGUACCGUGCCAGAAUGACUACAGGAUUGCAAACCAAAUGUUCUCUACCAUCACCCUAUAUUUUAUGGGAUGGUUACGAAUGAGAGGCCAUGGCCAACACCCAAGAUCAUUAUUUGAUAUUUUACCAUCUGUGGCCAAAUUAAUGUGUCUGGUAUGGAUAUGAUGAUGAAACAUAACAGUGCUAUGUAACAGUCAGAGAUGGAGGAGGACAUGUUGUAAUUAUUAAAUACCUCCAGCUAUUUGGACUAAUCGCUGAGAUUGGGCAGAGUAAUAUUUGUCCCAGAACAUGAGGCGACCAGAGUUUCUGUGUCUUGGACGAGGGACCGGUACGUGUGUGGUAGUGUGAUCAAUCUAUUGUGCAGCACCAGAAUUUGUUGGUGAUCAGAUGAUACUAAUGUUACAUGCUUCCAGCAUAUGAAUUUGUCAUUAUUUGCUGAAGAGAGGAAAGAGGAAGACUCUUAACUGUCAGUAUGGUUUUAAAUAAGGUAUAAUUAGAGAAUAUUAUGUCCAUAUUAAUGUUUAUUAUAUCAUUUUGUUACUCUGAUUAUGGAGAUUCUUUUGUAUGAAAUAAAAUGCUAACAGCUUUAAGUGCUGAAGUACUGCAUAUACAAGGUGAAUCUUUGUCCAUCUUCCAUAAGUUACU